CUUGCAGGCCCCUAUCACCUUAUUAUUUAUUUUGUUCCACACAGUGAAACCUGACCAAGAGGCAAGGGUCCUAGCUAGUUCCCCCAAUACCUUUACCUGAAUUAUACAGGCCCCAAAGCCUGUCCAAGCUCUUACUAUUCCCUAACAGGUUAAGGCUCUGGUGUCGAAUGGUGCCCUGGUUACCUGAGACUUUCCAUGCAAUAUCCCACCUCUCCUUGUGAUGGAUGAAUUCUGUGCAGGAUAAUGUCACCCUGCAGGGAUGAUACUCUAUUUACCUGGCCACUCUUCUGCCACUUCCCAAGGGGGGAAAUGAUAAGACACUGACUAUUAUUUUUUUUUUAGCCUUUUUCUUAUGUUCUGUUCCGGAUUUGCUGUCACUACAGUGGACCAAGUAUCUCACCUCAACAAUGUCUGCACAAGAAGCUGAGCUAUAGACUCCCAUCACACCAUGCAAGAUCUCUGAAGGAAGACUGAACUCAGAGGAAGCAUGUGGCAGCUCUCUGGCUGACUAAGUUGUUCAAAAAGUUGUAAGUGCACUAAGGGAAGUGGACAGAAAAGUGUCUGCUGAAG